GAUGAACGCUGACAGCAUGCUUAACACAUGCAAGUCAACCUGAACUUCCGUUUGGGUGGCGGACGGGUGAGUCACGCGUACAGAACUUGCCUCACAGUUAGGGACAACAUUCGGAAACGAAUGCUAAUACCUGAUAUUAUGAUUAUAUGGCAGCGUAUUAUUAUGAAAGUGAUCUGCGCUGUGAGAGGGCUUUGCGUCCCGUUAGCUAGUUGGAGAGGUAACGGCUCACCAAGGCGAUGGUGGGUAGACGGCCUGAGAGGGAGAUCGGCCACACGGGGACGGAGAGACGCACGUUACUGCGACGGGAGGCAGGAGUGAGUAAUGUAGGAUAGAGGACCAAGAGUAGGAUCCAGCAAUUAUGUGUGCAGGAUGAAGUUGUUCGGAAUGUAAAGUGGUUUCAGUUGGGAGGAAAAUAAUGACGGUACCAGGAGAAGAAGUGACGGCUAACUACGUG
rnacentral:rRNA from 1 species